rnacentral:rRNA from 1 species
AUUGAACGCUGGCGGCAUGCCUUACACAUGCAAGUCGAACGGUAACAGGUCUUCGGAUGCUGACGAGUGGCGAACGGGUGAGUAAUACAUCGGAACGUGCCCGAGAGUGGGGGAUAACGAGGCGAAAGCUUUGCUAAUACCGCAUACGAUCUCAGGAUGAAAGCAGGGGACCGCAAGGCCUUGCGCCCACGGAGCGGCCGAUGGCAGAUUAGGUAGUUGGUGGGAUAAAAGCUUACCAAGCCGACGAUCUGUAGCUGGUCUGAGAGGACGACCAGCCACACUGGGACUGAGACACGGCCCAGACUCCUACGGGAGGCAGCAGUGGGGAAUUUUGGACAAUGGGCGCAAGCCUGAUCCAGCCAUGCCGCGUGCAGGAUGAAGGCCUUCGGGUUGUAAACUGCUUUUGUACGGAACGAAAAGGCUCUGGUUAAUACCUGGGGUCCAUGACGGUACCGUAAGAAUAAGCACCAGCUAACUACGUGCCAGCCGCCGCGGUAACAC